ACGUGUGCAGAAUCCAAAAUGGCGUCAAUAAUUAAUGGAUGAGUUCAAGGUCUUCAAGUGCAAAGGAAUUAACUUUGUCCUUGGUUGGCUACCAAUCUCGUUCCCAGAGUAUGCCUGUUCGCGGGUUAGGUUGUGCCACAACCUAACCCGCGAACAGGCAUACUCUGGGAACGAGAUUGGUUGGCUACAAGAAAACGGCUUUGAACGAUUGAAGAGAGUUUUUGAAGGAAAGAAAAACUUUGAAAUUCCAAAAUUGCGAAAUGCUGUAGCUUCCAAUUCGUACAUGGGGUGGGGUAUUUGAACUCCAAUUUUUCCCAAUACGUGGUGUAUUUGAACGGGAAUUACAAAUAUAUGUAGGGAAUUUGACCUGACCAAAACGUCAAAAUCCAAAUUCCCGGGGGUAUGCCCGGGGGGGGGAUGUCAAGGUUUCGAUUUGAUUCGCGCAUUAUCGUUGUCAAAAAUAUUUCAGUGCUGAGGCAGUACAACAACCUCGUACCCAGGGCCUCCUGCUGAGGGCGAAGGCCCUGGUAAAUGCUGGUCUCAAACACUGAACUAUAUAGCAAUAUUUUUAAACACGAGGCGAUUCGAACGGGGGGAGUGUCUGACAAAACUAUAAUUAUUUUAAAAAAACAUGGCGUCGAUCAAUGAGCGCCAGUGAUGAGCGCCCUGCGAGGACAAGAUGAAUUCUUUUGUUUUCAAUGAAUCUUCAAGGUGAACUGAUAUACAUCGAAUAUAAUUUAAUUAGGUGGGUAACCAAACUGACUAAUUUUUUUAAUCAAUAUAUUUGAUACAAUCCUAUGAUAUUUAAUAUUUUAUAUACAAAUUAAUAUAUGGAACCAUUGCUCUUUCUUUAGAAGUACCGAGUACGAAAUAUAUCACAAAAAUUACUGCCAUCAUUAUCAUAAGAACUCAUUAUUCGUUGUGAUAAACUAUGAUAUGAAAAUUUACAAAAAGUUACAGUCAUGAGGUUAUUUUAUGAGAAAAAUAUCGACUUUUAUCACCGAUUUUCAGCUGAUUAUUAAUAUUUUGAAUUAAUAUCUGAUGUAAAUAUAUACUGUAAUUGCUAUAUUUAAACGUGAUCUAUAUGUACUGUUGUCAGUCUAAUCUUGAAUAAACAUAAUACAUUGUGCAGACAAAUUGCCCAUUUCAGUAGUUUAUUUGAAUGUAUGUAGACAAUGAAACUGUUUUCUAUUCAGCCA